ensembl:lncRNA
UUUUUUUUUUUUCUUUUUUAGAUGAGGCUUUUGUCAUGUUGGCUGGGCUGGUUUUCAACUCGUGGCCUCAAGUGAUCCACCCACCUCAGCCUUCUAAAGUGCUGGGAUUAUAGGCAUGAACCACCACACCAGCUUCUGAAUGGUCUUUAUCUGACUUCCUCUGGAAACAAAACCUGGAACAUGGAUUCUACUAUAAAUAGUUCAUUUGAGAGGUGAUCUCAGGAAACCCUGGGAGCUGAUUCAGAGAGCAGGACAGGGAAGUGGAAGAAGUCAAUAAAGGACGUGUUACUAAGCACUGCAGAGCUCCAUGCCACUGAGAAACUCCACUGGAGCUCCACCUCACUGAGAAACUCUAAGACACAGAGUAGAAUACGACUUAGAGUUAUCCCAACCAACAGGCAAGGAAGCUGGGGUGUUUACCCAUCAACUCUCCCAUUCAUCAUUGUUUGAGGGCUGAUCUCAGGGACAUCAACUAUCCAGCACGUCUGGCCUGCCCUCCUGCACUGUGUAUGGGCUGUGCAUGCUGCCAAGCCAGAGCACAGAGGGUCACAGGCCUUGGGAGUGUGGGGUGCAUACUAAUUGGAUGUGGGUGGGUCACUGACAGCACCACUGCAUUGCCUCCCUUCUCCCUUUCCCAACAGAGGCCUGCGAUAACUUUCCAAAGUGCAAAUCUGAUUAUGACACUCCCCCAGUCAAUUAAAGCAUAUGUGGAUGAUGCUAAAGAUCUACCUUGCUUAUUUCGCCUGAUGCAGGUGACUGGAGUGGUGCCAAGCCAUCUGACCCUGGGCACCUUUGGCAUACCUUCUGCAGGUGGUCAAAGCUUGGACUGGAUUUUCAGUAACUGUCUGUGAAUUAAAUGAAGAGAUAGCUUUAUUCAUAUAUUUAUAAUUAAAACCUGUUUAUUUACAGAACAGGUUGGGAAGGGAAGAGAUAAACGAUCGCCUGUGGUUUGGGGCCCAAUGGUGCAGCCCCUCUCCUCUCAACAGCUUUGCUGACCCCUUCUCGACAGUGCAGAGCCUCUCCCCUGUGCUUCUGUCACUGCACCAAAGCCACUCGUGGCAGCACUUUGUUCUUCUUUAUGCAGUCACAUUAUCUGGGAAUCUCAAUGUGAUUUACAAGCUUACAUAACUUCCCAAAUGAGUCAGCAUGCUCAUCAAGAAGGCAGCAUGGUGUCGUGGAAAGAACAGGGCAUUUGGUGCCAGAUAGAACAAGUUCAAUUCCUGCAUCUGCCACUUCCUAACUGUGUCUAGACAAGUUAUUCUACCUCCCCCAGCCUGUUUCUUCCUCUAACAAAUGGAGAUGAGAAUAUCUACCUAGGAGUGUUAUUAUAAGGAUGAAGGGAGGUAAGAAACACUCAGAGUGCGAUCAGCAUUUGCUUCUCCCAUCCUAUAUCCUGAUUUACACAUCUAGCAGCAAAUUCUUGAACCUUACUGACAUGUAGUGAGUAGAAAAUGCUGAUUUAUCUUCGUCUGCUUUUAGCACCAGUGAAUUUUCGAUGAAAGUUUAAAUCACUUAUUUGUAAAGGAAAAAUUGGUCUUGCUCUACUCUGGGCAAAGCAGGCACAGUGCAUGUGAAAUAAAUCAGCACCAGAGAGGGAUGUGGUGCUCUAGGUAGGGCAGUGCAGGCACAGCCUGGCUCAGGCCUGGCCGGACUGCAGUGGCAGCCAAAGAUCACUGGCUUUCAGAGGAAACUUUGGGAGCAUGCAGUAAGACAGACAGCCUGACAAACAAAAUGUCCAGGAGAGGAUGUGGGAUCCAAUCCAAAUAGCUGCUUACCACAGUGGGAAGCGAUUAGGAAUGGUGUUGCAGAAUGCCUUUCGCCAGACAAAGCAGCAGCAUAUGAAUGAGGAUGCUGCUGUGCUGGUCAGGGCUGGGGAUAGUUCUGGAACUGUUUUUCCCAAGCGGUUAAAACAAAUGCAAGCUUAAAAAUAAAAUAAAAUAAAAUCCCUGGUUA